GAUGAACGCUGGCGGCGUGCCUAAUACAUGCAAGUCGAGCGAACAGACGAGGAGCUUGCUCCUCUGACGUUAGCGGCGGACGGGUGAGUAACACGUGGAUAACCUACCUAUAAGACUGGGAUAACUUCGGGAAACCGGAGCUAAUACCGGAUAAUAUAUUGAACCGCAUGGUUCAAUAGUGAAAGACGGUUUUGCUGUCACUUAUAGAUGGAUCCGCGCCGCAUUAGCUAGUUGGUAAGGUAACGGCUUACCAAGGCGACGAUGCGUAGCCGACCUGAGAGGGUGAUCGGCCACACUGGAACUGAGACACGGUCCAGACUCCUACGGGAGGCAGCAGUAGGGAAUCUUCCGCAAUGGGCGAAGGCCUGACGGAGCAACGCCGCGUGAGUGAUGAAGGUCUUCGGAUCGUAAAACUCUGUUAUUAGGGAAGAACAAAUGUGUAAGUAACUAUGCACGUCUUGACGGUACCUAAUCAGAAAGCCACGGCUAACUACGU
rnacentral:rRNA from 1 species